GCCGGGAUAGCUCAGUUGGGAGAGCGUGAGACUGAAGUUCUCAAGGUCCUCGGUUCGAUCCCGAGUCACGGCA
rfam:Tilletia walkeri strain DAOM 236422 scaffold_70, whole genome shotgun sequence.